UCGGACCUUCUGCGCCACACAUAUCUUCACCAGUAGAAUCAAGGAUUUCUCCUAAAAGGAUUCGAACUACCACAUCAUCACGAACUCACUCGGUGCCUUUGCAUGAUCCUCAUCAAUUACCACCUCAAGGUGAUAUUCCUAACAUAAGUGAACAUGAAGAAGAUCAAGCUAGCAUCUCCAAACCGGGAUCUAACCCAAUAGCUCCUUCCCCAAAGAUGAGCCCCUCCGCACAUGACUCUUUGUUUUUAGAUUUUGCACAUGAUGACAGUUACACACCCAUCCUUGAUGCUAAUCCUUCUACAGAAAGCUCUUUUUCAAAAGAAGCUUCAAAGUCACCACAAGUCAUCCCUUCUCCUCAAUAUGCAAAAGAAGACUCUACUCCAAAAGCUAUGGGAGUUGCGUCUAUGAGCUCAUUUCCUUCUCAACUUGUUAGAAAAGACACUGGCUUGGAGUUUUUUUUUGGGUAAAUAAGCUCAUUGAAAAGGUGAAAAUCAUCACGUCCUCAUGAACACAAAUCUUUGAGGGAGGAAACUACAAAAUUGCACAAAAACUUGAUGACACAUGGAGCUGACAUUUCAGUCACAAGGGACAAGAUAUAUGAAGUACUUGAUAUGGCUAAGAUUGCCCAUGACACAAAUAAUGGAGGAAGCGACCUAAACUUGGCGGAAAAGGAGGAAUUGAUGGUGUAAGAAGAAAAGCUAAAGAAAACUAAAUUGUCCCUCACUGCAAUAUCCCAACAUAUGGAUGAGACUAAUAUGGAGCUCAUACAAAUAAGAAAGAAAUUGCAAGAAUGGAGAGCCCAAGGGGAGGAAUUGAAAGCACAAGAAAAAGAGAAAGAACAAAUCAUCUCCUCAAGAAUGGGACUAUUAUCUAAUGCUCCUCCCAUUGAAGAAGUGAACAAGUCCCUUGCUGAUAUUCAUCAACAGAUUGAAGCACUUGGAGGUGGCGGUGAUAAAUUACAAACCUCAUUGUCAUCUAAGGAGGCCCUUGCCAACUUUGAGAGAGUGAAAGCUUAACUUUAGUCUUAGCUUAUUUUAUCUUCGAAUUUAGCUUAGUUUACUUCCAUUGCUUAGUUUUAAGCCCUAGCUAUUUUAUUUAUUCAACUUUAGCUUAAUGUAAUAAAUGGACUAAAAGUCCAUGUUUUCCUAACUUUUCUCCUUAGUAAUAGAAAUUUUCCUUCCAAACUAUUUUCCUUUUUUGUUUCUUUCUUUUCUUUUCUUUUUAUUAUUUUUUUUUUUUUAUGAGUGGCCGAACUCCAAACAUGACU